GAAAUUUGCUCCGCACAAUCGAAUACGAUGAAACAUUGUACGGAGC
rfam:Enterococcus avium ATCC 14025 genomic scaffold acpMO-supercont1.3, whole genome shotgun sequence.